GCGGGGACCCGCAGCAGCCGUCCAUGUUUCCUUGGUGACUGUUGCCAGGUGAGAAACUCUAAGGCAGAAUUUAUUAUCUUGGCGGAUAACCGGAGACGUUCCUCGCUGGAGCUGUUACCGGACUGUGCCCCAGCACUGUGCCAGGCUGGACCCUCUAGUGCCACCGGUGCUAGUGGGAGCCCCCGAGGGAGGGCUGUGCCCAGGGCGCCGGGGCUGCUCGGCCUCUGGCAUUGCUUCCCGGAAGGCGGCACGUGUUUUGGGGCUAUUUCUGCCCACUGGAGUGUCGCAUGCGAGGGAAGGAGGCGAAACCACAGGGACCGCGGAGAAGUGCAGAUGGACGUGGGCUGGUGGGCUGCCCUGCCUUGGCUUCCCUAGACCCCUGUUACAGCAUCACCUGCUGCCUGAGCUGCGACUGUAGCCAAAGAGGCAUGACUUCAAAAUACAUAAUUAUCGCAAAGACCUAUAAAUACACCCGAAGAAGGAGCCGAGCCGCCAGGCAGGCGUGUGUAAAGCAGACAUGGCUAUUUUCAGAGUGAGAGCCAGUGACGGAGCCUGCUCCCACCCCACGUACAGCCCGCGCUCUCACACACAAAUGCCCUCACGCGUCUGCGGGCGUGCAAGGGGCUGGAAAAACUGCACAGCAAAUCCCCCGUAUACCACUGCGGGCAGACACCACUGCCAUGGCCUUGUGUUCAAAGUGCAUUGUGUGAACACUGGGAUUAAAAAAACAAUGAAGGCUGGGAUUAAGAAAAUAAUGAAGCUGGGAUGGUCUCCGGGACAGGGCAGACAUUUGUGGGAACAGGAGAACUGACAUCUGCACGUGGUGGCAGGACUCAGGCCGGUGCCUGGGGCAUCCCUGGGUGAGGGGAGACUCCUGAGUGCUGGUGCCUGCAGCAAGGCACGGGGCAGGGACUCGGGCAGCACCGUGCCACCCUUGUGAAGGGAAAACAGUGUUUUCUCCUUCCCUCUGCCUUUCUCUCCUAUUCCAGCUCCCGACAGUGAGGUCUGCAAAACACAUGAGCUUCUAGGUGCUGCCGUAACAUAAAUAACCUGCCACCCCA